rfam:Candidatus Magasanikbacteria bacterium RIFCSPHIGHO2_01_FTLL_33_34 rifcsphigho2_01_scaffold_52, whole genome shotgun sequence.
UCGGGGAUCGUCUAACGGUAGGACUCUAGGUUUUGGUCCUAGGUAUCCAGGUUCGAAUCCUGGUCCCCGAG